ensembl:lncRNA
AAACAAUUAUUUUAUAGUCUUUUAAUCACGUUUGCACACUUUCCUGUAACAAAUAUAUCUAUAAUAUAUUUCUAUAUAUAUGUAGUCAGAUUCUGAGAACACAUUUCUGAUUCUGAUUCUAUGUUGCGCAUUAACUCGAUGCGUCACGCGAACCUGCAUUUUAUCAGUGCCAAAGCAUGGGAGGAGUGACUCAUUGACACUAUUUAAGGCCCUGAAUAUUUGUUGGCUCCUCAGUUAUCACUCUCUCAGCAGCAUGCAGAUGAUCCAAACAGGCUUCGGGAUGCUCACACCUCUGGCUUUUGGCUUGGUUUAUCUGAUUUGCAGCCUCACCGCUGUCCGUGCUGAGGCUGGCAAGGGAACAUCUGUAGCCUCUUCAGGGGACAGCAACCGAACAACCGGUAUGGAAAUACAGCGUCACAACAACACAGCUGUGUGCUGUGAGAAUCAACUCUAUCCAGUGGCAGAGCUCUCAUAUUGUGGAGAGAAGGCUUUCAACCCAGAAGAAGCCACUUGUUGCCCAUAUGAAAAUGGAAGCACCAUAACAGAGGGCCUUAGUGAAAAGGUGUCAGCUUGCUGUGGACUGAAGGCAUACGACCAGCUCAAUCAAAUAUGCUGUCACGGAACCAUCCUAGUCAAACCUGGGCCAAACGCCCAAUGUUGUGAUAAAAAGGCUUUUGAUGUCGACGAGCAGAUGUGUUGUGGACCGCUGACCAAUAAGACAAUCCUAACAAAAGAAUCCUCAGACCACCGAUGCUGUGGACAAAACAGUUUUAACCCAACGACUCAAUGCUGCUGUUCGAUAAAUGAAAGUCUAAGCAUAUGGUCCAAGGAUUCCAGCUGCUGCGAGAAGGCUGACUGUGGACAGAACACCUACAACACAAGCGACAAACUAUGCUGUCAAUCAACGGUUGUUAGCAAAAAUGUAUCAAAUGCCCAAUGCUGUGGUAAACAGGCGUUUAAUAACGACACACAAUUGUGUUGUGGUCCUUCUGAUGACAAGAUAAUCCUGGAGAGAAUCUCUAUUGACCACCUCUGUUGUGGACGUAACCGGUUCGACACCAACAAGGAGUGCUGCUGUUUGACAAAGGAAGGUCUUCAGAUACAACAGAUCAAUUCCAGCUGCCGUCGGGAUCAGGGUGUGGAACCAAAGGUCAAUCUUCUGAUGCCACUGCUGUGUUUAACCCACACAUAGGUGUCUGCUGUGGACGCUGUGUGUCUGAUUGGAACCCUUCGACAGAUCAACUUCAUGGCCCGCCUGGACAACAUAGCUGCAGGACGAAAGUUUAUCGGCCUCACGCGGGGAUCAUUUGCGAUGGACCAAGGACUCCUCACUUCUGUGGGUCAAAAGCCUACGACAUUAAAGACCCAGGAAUGAAGUGCUGCGCAGGAACAUUGCACAACCUCACUCAAGUACCAGAGGCGCAGUGCUGUGGCUCCAUCCUGCAAAACAAACCGGUACAUUUUAUUGAUGAUAAUAAUAGUGGUAAUGCGAAUGCUAAUGACUUUGCUUGAAUAAUGUGAUGUUUUUCUUUAACAUAGGAAGUACUCUUUCCCCCAGUAUUUUUAUUGAUAUUGGCAGCGAUAGAAGUCCUGCAGAGAAUCUUACACCAAGUGGAAUAUUGCAUUGAAACAAGUUCAACUUGCUGUGCAUGGUGUAUCGUGGACAUCAAUGUGUUGACAUUUCAGGGAGAUGGCAAACAAGCAUAUCUUUUCAAAGUGACACUUGUUUCUUAUAACUAUAUAAAUAGAACGUAUGCUGUUUGAGUGAGCACAUGGAGGUGCUCUACUCCAACAAGACGAAAUUUGAAUGCUGUGGUCACCUCUACUACAACACCUCCCUAUGGUCAUGCUGUGCAGGGACGCUGAGCGCUGUGCCUCCACGAGGACAGCAUCCGAAAUCCAUACUUCGAUCUUUGGGCAAUUUGAAUGAGACGGAUCUUUGUGGCAAACUGCAAGUCGGGAUUGUGGAAAGGGACGGCCUGAAUGGGAUCGUAUUCAACAGUGUGUUGAUAAUCCAUGGAAGGAAUGGCAGUGUGAUACCCAGGAGCGGGCUUCACACCCUGAGUACAGGAACCGAUGGCUGCAGCAACGCAAAACUGGUCCCUGGGAAGAGCUACUUCUUUGAUGACGUUAAAGUAAAUGUCUUCACAGAUCUCAACCACGACUCUAUUCUCCAGUCCAUCUAUUUCAUUAUUUCUAAGUGUCAUACGAAUAUAUAAGAUUAUAGACUUUAUGUUCAGGGUCGGACGAUUUACUAACUAAUCUAACAUGCAGCUAAUUUAUAGAUGUUGAGUUUUGGAUUAACACCAUUUGUUAAAAAACAACUGUGGAGUUAUCAAAAGCAAUAUUCCUUGUCUCUUAGCAGAGGACAGCCAUUAUCAAUUAUCAGGCUGGAGCUUGUUCACUAAGUCCACAUAUUAGUCUGUUAACUUAUGCACAUCAAUAAAACUACUCUCAAAUUGUGAAGUAGCAGAGCAUCAAAAGAAUUAUUAUAUACAAUGUCCAUGAAGUUCAUGACAGGAUGAUCUAAAUCUUUUGCAUAACUGGUGGUUGCAAUUACCAAUGUUUAGUAAUCACCGCAAGAUGGUGACACUCAUCACGGUGAACUAUUUGUUUUCAAGAUUAAUGUUUGUGUGAUUAAUGUGUCUGUGAUUUUAAUAAGCUAAUAAGCUAAACAGCUAUUAGAACAUGUGUUUUCAUUUUUGGAACAUUAUGCUCUAUUUUGGAUUUUUAAAUUUGCACAAAACUACAUUAAUAGUGAGUCACUCAUGAAAAUGUAUGUUUGAAUAUAAAUGACAGGAUUUGUCACAUUAUGUGUCACAUGUGCUAAACAAAGCUGAAAGACCAAUCACUUAAAUAUUAAGCUGUGGUGCAUUGAAUUUCUAUGGUGCGUUGAAGUUAUAUUUCUUAACAAUAUGUAUGUUACCCAUAGUUCCAUGUUCCUGUAGCUAGGAACAUGGCAUUAGUAUGAAGGUACUUUUCCAACUUUGAGCGUUUUGCCAUCGCCUUAGUGUGGCCUAAAGGAUUCUGGACACUGCUUUUGCAGUGUGUACUGACCGGUAGAGCUCAGGAGGCUUAUUCAUCUUUAACUCUGACUCAAAAUAUAGUUGUUUUAAUGUUCAUUCAUGUACUGUAUUUUUCAUUUUACAAAAACUAUUUUCUAUAUCUUUGUACGUUUAGUUUCUUGUUUUAAGCAGUGUCAACACAUAAUGCAUGUUUUAGUAUGUUCUAUAUCUAUGCAUGACACAGCCACAUGUAGGUGCUUUAUGUUAGAUUCAUUUUUGUCAUUAAAAG